rnacentral:rRNA from 1 species
UACGGAGGGGGCUAGCGUUGUUCGGAAUUACUGGGCGUAAAGCGCGCGUAGGCGGGCUGUUAAGUCGGGGGUGAAAUCCCGGGGCUCAACCCCGGAACUGCCUUCGAUACUGGCAGCCUAGAGGACGGAAGAGGUCAGUGGAAUGGCGAGUGUAGAGGUGAAAUUCGUAGAUAUUCGCCGGAACACCAGUGGCGAAGGCGACUGACUGGUCCGUUUCUGACGCUGAGGUGCGAAAGCGUGGGGAGCAAACAGG